rnacentral:rRNA from 1 species
UGGGGAAUAUUGGGCAAUGGGCGAAAGCCUGACCCAGCAACGCCGCGUGAAGGAUGAAGUAUUUCGGUAUGUAAACUUCGAAAGAAUAGGAAGAAUAAAUGACGGUACUAUUUAUAAGGUCCGGCUAACUACGUGCCAGCAGCCGCGGUAAUACGUAGGGACCAAGCGUUGUUCGGAUUUACUGGGCGUAAAGGGCGCGUAGGCGGCAAUUCAAGUCAUCUGUGAAAUCUCCGGGCUUAACUCGGAACGGUCAGAUGAUACUGCUUUGCUAGAGUGCAGAAGGGGCAAUCGGAAUUCUUGGUGUAGCGGUGAAAUGCGUAGAUAUCAAGAGGAACACCUGAGGUGAAGACGGGUUGCUGGGCUGACACUGACGCUGAGGCGCGAAAGCCAGGGGAGCAAACGGGAUUAGAUACCCUCGUAGUCCCUGAGCGGGCUGGCAAGGCGCAU